rnacentral:lncRNA from 1 species
CGCGGCGGCGCCGCCUCCCUCGGCGUCGUCGCUGGCGAAGCGUGCAAAUAGAAACCUUUCUCCUUAAUCGCCUUCUGCUCCGCCUCCGCCGCAGCCGCCGAAUCCACCAUCAUGCUACUGUUGUUGCCCCCCAAUUUGCUUGCCGGUUGAUGAUUUCCGCCCCCGCCACCGUUCAUCGGACUUCCGCCGUAGCAGGUAGCGAAUCCUCCCCCGGUUCCGGAUCCGGAUCGGUCAAACGGGUCGUGAAUCAAGGGAGUGACAGGACUGAGCACUAGAGACGGGAAAUCAAGGAUGCUCGGAGAAAGGAUCUCGGGCUUCCGGGGCGAGAACCCGGAUCCAGCCGCCGGCGAUAGGAACGGAUUCAGCGGGUUGAUCUUCAGGUUCUUGAGCGAGUUCCUCCUCUCGUAAAGCUUGAACCCGGAUGAUUGAUUCCUCUUCGGGAUUGGCUUAAUCGGAGGAAUCGCAUGAUUAUGAGAUUUCAUCGGAUGGUGGUUGUGGUUGCGGUGGUGGGUGGGGUCAGGUUGGGGAGACGCCGCCGCCGCGGCGGAUUUCGGAGAUCCGGUGAGCAUUUGGACAACCUGCUUGAACGAGGAGGUAUCCGCUUGGACGAAGGUUGUUGGGUAUGGAUUAGCCGACUCGGAUCUGGCGAUUGGCCGAGGAGAAGGCAGCGAUGGUGGCGGCGGCGGGGGCUGCGCCGCCGCCGCCGUGGAGUGGCGAAGGCCAUUGGUGGAGGUAGGGCUGCUGCUGCUGUUGCUGCUACUGCUGCUACUGGUGCUGUUCGGCGACGGAAUUAGCGACUGGUAAUUACUCCUGCCGGCAUCCUGGUAUUGAAAUCUCGGUGAAGAUUUCUCCAUUUCUGGCUCUGCUCUCUAAUCUUUCUGAAGAGAGAUUUUGGAGAAGACGAAAGAAAUAGAGAGGAAAAGGAAAUGGGGGAAGUGCUGGUUUUGUAAUUCCAAUUGGUAAGAAAUGUUUUUUCCUUUCAACUCUCUGACUUCAGAAAGGGCAUUCACGCGCCUUUUUUAUAGCGUCGAAGACGCGCGUGAUUUGACUGUGAAAAUUAAAAAACGGAGAUAUAGUAAAUGGUAAUUAAGAGGAGUGUUACUU